rnacentral:rRNA from 1 species
GACGAACGCUGGCGGCGUGCCUAAUACAUGCAAGUCGAGCGGAUCUUCAUUAGCUUGCUUUUGAAGAUCAGCGGCGGACGGGUGAGUAACACGUGGGCAACCUGCCUGUAAGACUGGGAUAACUCCGGGAAACCGGAGCUAAUACCGGAUAAUCCUUUUCCUCUCAUGAGGAAAAGCUGAAAGACGGUUUCGGCUGUCACUUACAGAUGGGCCCGCGGCGCAUUAGCUAGUUGGUGAGGUAACGGCUCACCAAGGCGACGAUGCGUAGCCGACCUGAGAGGGUGAUCGGCCACACUGGGACUGAGACACGGCCCAGACUCCUACGGGAGGCAGCAGUAGGGAAUCUUCCGCAAUGGACGAAAGUCUGACGGAGCAACGCCGCGUGAGCGAUGAAGGCCUUCGGGUCGUAAAGCUCUGUUGUCAGGGAAGAACGAGUAUCGGAGUAACUGCCGGUACCUUGACGGUACCUGACCAGAAAGCCACGGCUAACUACGUGCCAGCAGCCGCCGUAACAC